rnacentral:sRNA from 1 species
GGCACGCCUAGCCCGACGGGGCGAACCCCGGACACCUUUCACCGGAUGGCGUGCAGAUUCUGAAAGG